rnacentral:rRNA from 1 species
GGAUGCGAUCAUACCAGCACUAAAGCACCGAAUCCCAUCAGAACUUUAAAGUUAAGCGUGCUUGGGCGAGAGAAGUACUAGGAUGGGUGACCUCCUGGGAAGUCCUCGUGUAGCAUCCC